AGAGCGAACGCUGGCGGCAGGCCUAACACAUGCAAGUCGAGCGCCCCGCAAGGGGAGCGGCAGACGGGAGAGUAACACGUGGGAACGUACCCUUUGGUUCGGAACAACCCAGGGAAACUUGGGCUAAUACCGAAUAAGCCCUUACGGGGAAAGAUUUAUCGCCAAAGGAUCGGCCCGCGUCUGAUUAGCUAGUUGGUGAGGUAACGGCUCACCAAGGCGACGAUCAGUAGCUGGUCUGAGAGGAUGAUCAGCCUCACUGGGACUGAGACACGGCCCAGACUCCUACGGGAGGCAGCAGUGGGGAAUAUUGGACAAUGGGCGCAAGCCUGAUCCAGCCAUGCCGCGUGGGUGAUGAAGGCCCUAGGGUUGUAAAGCCCUUUCGGCGGGAAGAUAAUGACGGUACCCGCAGAAGAAGCCCGGCUAACUUCGCGCCAGCAGCCGC
rnacentral:rRNA from 1 species